rnacentral:rRNA from 1 species
AGAGCGAACGCUGGCGGCAGGCUUAACACAUGCAAGUCGAGCGGGCGUAGCAAUACGUCAGCGGCAGACGGGUGAGUAACGCGUGGGAACGUACCUUUUGGUUCGGAACAACACAGGGAAACUUGUGCUAAUACCGGAUAAGCCCUUACGGGGAAAGAUUUAUCGCCGAAAGAUCGGCCCGCGUCUGAUUAGCUAGUUGGUGAGGUAACGGCUCACCAAGGCGACGAUCAGUAGCUGGUCUGAGAGGAUGAUCAGCCACAUUGGGACUGAGACACGGCCCAAACUCCUACGGGAGGCAGCAGUGGGGAAUAUUGGACAAUGGGCGCAAGCCUGAUCCAGCCAUGCCGCGUGAGUGAUGAAGGCCCUAGGGUUGUAAAGCUCUUUUGUGCGGGAAGAUAAUGACGGUACGCAAGAAUAAGCCCGGCUAACUUCGCGCCAGCAGCCGC